UGCAGCAGGCGCGAAACCUUUACACUGCACGACAGUGCGAUAGGGGGAUCCCAAGUGCACAGGCAUAGCGCCUGUGCUUUUCGGUACCGUAAGGUGGUACCAGAAUAAGGGCUGGGCAAGACCGGUGCCAGCCGCCGCGGUAAUACCGGCAGCCCAAGUGAUGGCCGAUCUUAUUGGGCCUAAAGCGUCCGUAGCUGGCCGCGCAAGUCCAUCGGGAAAUCCACCUGCUCAACAGGUGGGCGCCCGGUAGAAACCGCGUGGCUUGGGACCGGAAGGCGCGACGGGUACGUCCGGGGUAGGAGUGAAAUCCCGUAAUCCUGGACGGACCGCCGAUGGCGAAAGCACGUCGCGAAGACGGAUCCGACAGUUCGCCCGAAAGUCACCGUCUCC
rnacentral:rRNA from 1 species